rnacentral:lncRNA from 1 species
ACUUUAAGGAUGCAUUUGUCUAUCACACAUACAUUGUUCAUAAACACUUCAUUUUUAGGGGCCUAAAAUAUACAUUUUUCAUUAUAGUUUAUGAGAUAAAAUCAAGUAAACAGAGGUUAAAGGAAGUGCAUUCCUGUUGUGUCUAUUUUUCUCCUGCGCCCCCCUCCUUUUUUUUUUUUUUUUUUGAUUUUACUUGUAUUUAAAACUGAAUGUAGCUCUCUACUUUUCUUCACAGAGAUGAAAAGGAUUUUUGACUUAUGCACAAAGAUUUCAAGCAGAAGUGCUCGUGGGUAUACUUUCAGUCAGCUCCUGCUGAUGAAAGAAUGCUCUACCUGACAGAUAAGGAAAAGUCUUCUGGAGCCCAGCUAUCCAACACAGUCACUUGAUUUUCUACUAUUACCCUAGACAGUGUUCUAAGUACUCUGAGGAGAAUUUCAACAAGGUAUCAAAUGAUUUGAAAACAUUAGGUUAUUUAGAUAGCCUCUGAGCUGCUAUUUUUCUAUGCCAACUGACUUCAUAUUUCUUCGACAUUGAUGUUAAUUGUGUUAGCUAUCUAAUCAUAGUCAGCAAAGACUAAUGCCAAAAAAAUAUAAACCACUUCAGAUUUGUUGGCAACAUCUGUCAUUAGCCUUCCCUCUCC